AACUACUCAAAUCUGCAAUUGCGUACUAAAGAAAUGCCGUUAAAGCAAUUGAUCCAGGAAAAAACUUUUCAGAUGUGGAUAGGAGGACCAGAACAUGUUUACUAAGCCUUAAUCCGACAUCCGGAGGAUAAAAAUUAUGAAGGAAAUGUUUGUCUGCGGAACACUUAACAAUCCCAGCAAACUUAAUAUGUAUAUCUUAAAUGAUUAAGG
rnacentral:misc_RNA from 1 species